rnacentral:rRNA from 1 species
CACCGCGUGAGUGAAGAAGCCUUCGGGUUGUAAAGCUUUCGCAAGGGAAGAAAACUUAUGAUCGAAUAAAUCAUGAGGUUGACGGUACCUUGAUAAGAAGCACCGGCUAACUACGUGCCAGCAGCCGCGGUAAUACGUAGGGUGCGAGCGUUAAUCGGAAUUACUGGGCGUAAAGCGUGCGCAGGCGGUUUUGUAAGUCGGAUGUGAAAUCCCCGGGCUCAACCUGGGAACUGCGUUCGAAACUGCAAGGCUAGAGUGUGUCAGAGGGGGGUAGAAUUCCACGUGUAGCAGUGAAAUGCGUAGAGAUGUGGAGGAAUACCAAUGGCGAAGGCAGCCCCCUGGGAUAACACUGACGCUCAUGCACGAAAGCGUGGUGAGCAAACAGGAUUAGAUACCCUGGUAGUCCACGCCCUAAACGAUGUCAACUAGUUGUUGGUAGAGUAAAAUCUAUGAGUAACGUUAGCUAACGCGUGAAGUUGAACGCCUGGGGAGUACGGUCGCAAGAUUAAAACUCAAAGGAAUUGACGGGGGGC